UGAUUGCAAAAGUCGCUCUCCCUAG
rnacentral:piRNA from 1 species